GGUGUUGUAGCUCAGUGGUAGAGUACUUGCCUAGCAUGCAUGAGGCACUGGGUUAAUGCCAGCACCA
rnacentral:tRNA from 1 species